rnacentral:rRNA from 1 species
UACGUAGGGUGCGAGCGUUGUCCGGAAUUAUUGGGCGUAAAGAGCUCGUAGGCGGUGUGUCGCGUCGGCCGUGAAAACCUGGGGCUCAACUCUGGGCGUGCGGUCGAUACGGGCAGGCUGGAGUUCGGUAGGGGAGACUGGAAUUCCUGGUGUAGCGGUGAAAUGCGUAGAUAUCGGGAGGAACACCGGUGGCGAAGGCGGCGACCUGGGUAGAUACUGACGCUGAGGUGCGAAAGCGUGGGGAGCAAACAGGG